GACUCGCAGGCAGCGCUCUCUGUUGCUGAGUUAUGCCGAAGAGGAGACGGAUGUUCAGGGGACAGUCAACGGUGUCGAGCCUUCUGCAGGAGGGGGCAGCAGCACCAAGUCCACCAGCAGCUCAGAGGAGGGACAGGACAAACAGCAGCAGAAGGAAGAGGGAGGCUUCUUCUCUAAGCUUAAGAAAAUGUUUAGCUGACACUCAGGCUGCAGGU